rnacentral:rRNA from 1 species
CGGGGGGCAGCAGUGGGGAAUAUUGGGCAAUGGACGAAAGUCUGACCCAGCGACGCCGCGUGAGGGAUGAAGGCCUUCGGGUUGUAAACCUCUUUCAGUAGGGAAGAAGCGAAAGUGACGGUACCUAAAGAAGAAGCACCGGCUAACUAUGUGCCAGCAGCCGCGGUAAUACAUAGGGUGCAAGCGUUGUCCGGAAUUAUUGGGCGUAAAGAGCUCGUAGGUGGUUUGUUGCGUCGGGUGUGAAAUUCAGGGGCUCAACCCCUGACCUGCACUCGAUACGGGCAAGCUAGAGUUUGGUAGGGGAGACUGGAAUUCCUGGUGUAGCGGUGGAAUGCGCAGAUAUCAGGAGGAACACCAAUGGCGAAGGCAGGUCUCUGGGCCAAUACUGACACUGAGGAGCGAAAGCGCGGGGAGCGAACAGGAUUAGAUACCCGAGU